GACGAACGCUGGCGGCGUGCUUAACACAUGCAAGUCGAACGGAAAGGCCCCCACCUUGGUGGGGGUGCUCGAGUGGCGAACGGGUGAGUAACACGUGGGUGAUCUGCCCUGUACUUCGGGAUAAGCUUGGGAAACUGGGUCUAAUACCGGAUAGGACCAUGGUUUAGUGUCUCAUGGUGGAAAAAUUAUUGUUUUGGUGCAGGAUGAGCUCGCGGCCUAUCAGCUUGUUGGUGGGGUAAUGGCCUACCAAGGCGUCGACGGGUAGCCGGCCUGAGAGGGUGGACGGCCACAUUGGGACUGAGAGACGGCCCAGACUCCUACGGGAGGCAGCAGUGGGGAAUCUUGCACAAUGGGCGCAAGCCUGAUGCAGCGACGCCGCGUGGGGGAUGACGGCCUUCGGGUUGUAAACUCCUUUCGUUAGGGACGAAGCCACACCUUUUUUGGGUGUGGUGACGGUACCUUUGUUAAGAAGCACCGGCUAACUACGUG
rnacentral:rRNA from 1 species